AGACAUGACUGCCUCGUGGCAAGA
rnacentral:piRNA from 1 species